GGCGGUAAUACGGAAGGUCCUAGCGUUGUUCGGAAUUACUGGGCGUAAAGCGCAUGUAGGCGGAACAAAAAGUUAGAAGUGAAAUCCCUGGGCUCAACCUAGGAAUUGCUUUUAAAACUUUUGUUCUGGAAUUCAGGAGAGGAAAAUGGAAUUUCCAGUGUAGAGGUGAAAUUCGUAGAUAUUGGAAGGAACACCAGUGGCGAAGGCGAUUUUCUGGACUGAUAUUGACGCUGAGAUGCGAAGGCAUGGGUAGCAAACGGGAUUAGAUACCCCGGUAGUCCAUGCAGUAAACGAUGGGUGCUAGUCGUCGGACUUUUGUUCGGUGUCGUAGCUAACGCGUUAAGCACCCCGCCUGGGGAGUACGGUCGCAAGAUUAAAACUCAAAUAAAUUGACGGGGACCCGCACAAGCAGUGGAGCAUGUGGUUUAAUUCGACGCAACGCGAAGAACCUUACCAGCGUUUGACAUGGGAAGUGCCGGUUACAGAAUGGUAACCUUCAGUUCGGCUGGCUUCCACACAGGUGCUGCAUGGCU
rnacentral:rRNA from 1 species